CGCAUCAGUUUGUCUACCCUGGGCGCGGUUGGUUUGCCUAAUCGCGUCAGCGAAUUGUGUUAUUCCAAACGGCGUGAAAACCGGAGACAUCGGCGGCUCGAACUUAAAAUAGCGGCUUAGCCGGUUUUCGGGUGAAAAUGAAACAACGGCCGUCUCCAAAGACGCAGAAAGCGAUUUGUAAAUUUCUAUAUAUUUUUUAAGAAAACCCGAAACCCUAGAUUAUGAAAGAAUCAGGUCAAGUUUUAAAAUCAACAACGAAAGAAAAUAAAAUAAUUGUUUUACUAAUUUUCCCAAAAGCCAAGCCUAAGCUUCAACCAAUGUCUGUUUAUUGAAUAAUUUUAAUUUGAUUAAUUAGGUAAGAACAAGAUUAAGUGGGGGCAUCCUUCAUUUACACUCCCCCACAUUAACUUAUUUAAAUGCCCCCAUCGCUCGUCUGCUCCUGCUCCAGAUAUUUUUUUCUCUUGCUCUUCUUCAGCUUCCCUAGCUUCUGCAGGUGAGAUUCAAAGCGAAUUAGCUUUGGCCUUCCAGGCUGGUGUUCUCAGAUUGUUAUAUGAACCAUUUUUUUUUGUAGUGCUGAUCAGGAUAUCAGUUUUCUGUUUAGCAUGUAAUGAAGGAGAAUAAUGAGUUGCAGUCUGCUGCAGUUCCCAUGAAAAAGUUGGAGAUUAAAUUGUGGCAAAAUAAUCGGUAUUUUAAUUGAAGUAUUCUACCAUAUGGAGGAAAAUAUACCCCAAUUUUGUAGCUCUUGCUGGUGUCUCGUAGUUUUGUUGCUGUGGCUGGCUUAGCUGGAGAUGGACGGGCACAUGUGAGUCCUCUCCAAUGCCUAGACCAUUUGUGAGAUGGGAGUCUCUGUUUGCACCAUUCACAUCCCUUGUUCCAUAAACCUGGUUUUGCAGUUGUUGUCUCAGAAUUGCUGCCUCCCUUUGCCAGAACUGAAAAAUAAGAUUAUGGUGAGAUUCACAGUGUACAGCCUUAAUUGCUGAAGUAUCAAAAUGCAUAUAAGGAACUUUGAUAUUGAAAUAUCACAAUAACCAUGCAUACAGACUUGACAAUGCUCUAAAUGACCAGCUACAAUCAUUGGCAAUUCACAACAAAAUCAAACAUACUUAGAUCCGAGGUUCUUGCUAGAGAGGAUUUUGAUCUUGCAGAGAAAGUUACGUUAUGAGUACUAUUAAUGUGUCAGUGGAAGCAGGAAUUUGAUAGUUUAACUAUUCAGCUGAUAAUUCACUUCUUGAGUCCUUGGUCCUUGGUCUAUUUGUUAAAGUUAAGCACAUUCUAAUUAGCUCUUGCUCCAGAUUGUUGAUUCUAUUUUUGGAUUGCCUGAUCAAGCAACUUAGCAAGUAAAUUAGGCUGUUAGAGCUAACAACUUUUCAAAAUCUGAUUUGAAAUUUAUAUGCUUUUUCUUCUGGAUAUUACAAGGUGCAAACUUUGUUCUUGGAGUAAUAUAAUUUAUAUAUGGAGAUUGGAGAUUGCUUUUAGCUUCCAGGUAUAUCACCAGUAAAAUGUUUAAAAGCAAAAAGGAGGUUGAGAUAUGAACUCUAUAAUAGAUAGAUCAUGGAUGGAGUCCCUGGAUUUGGUCUACAAGCAAGGAAUGGCAAGGUCUAUUUUGCCCUUCGAAUAUGUUAUUAAUUUUGGAGCUGUCCAUGAAUAUGCUUUUGUUGGAGAAAGCUUUUACCUAUUUUGAGGCAUAAAAGAGAUGAAAAUAUGGCUUCUUAGAAAAUUGGUGGUGUCUCUAGGGAAAGGGGUAAUUAUAAGGGUUUUCCUAUUUCUUAAGGUAAUUGCUUGUUGAAAAGUUAAUAGACUAUACACUAUUUGGGUAGGAAGGAAAGAAAAUAAAGCGAAGUCAAAAAAGGUAAGGAAAGAAAAAAUUGAAGAGAGAAAGUGAAGUUUUUUUUUUCCUUCCUUGUGUUUGGUAUGAAAGAUAGAAAACAGAGGGAGAUGGAGACUAGGGGUAAAAUUAUAAAUAAAAUGAUAAACUUAAGUAGAAAGGGUGUUUUCCUCCCUAUUUGGAAGGAAUAGAUGCGGAGAGAAAGGAAAGGUGCCAAUCCAUCCAUUUUCCUUCCCUCCUAUUUCCCUCCUACCAAAUGAAGGAAACAAAAGAAACACUAUUGUCCUUCCACUUCUUUUCCUUCCCUCCUCUAUCCCUCCUACCAAACAUCUCCACUUCAAGGGUUGACAACAGUAAAACCCUAAACCCUAAACCCUAAACUUUCGACCCUAAAUCUCCACUUCUAGGGUUGACAACAGAAAAACCUACUUGAUGUUCUUGUCAUUGGAAGGUAUCUUACUGAUUAGAACUAAGACCUGCACAAACUGUUCAAUUCUCUAGGGGGUUGAGCUUUAUAACCACCCUCACCCUCCCUUUUAAUUUUUAUUGUUUAAAAUAUAUCCUCUCUAGCACAUCUAGAAAGAUGUUCUAGGCUCAUACAUUCAUCAUCUCAUCAUGGUUUUUCUAUUUUAUCCGUUGCAAAAAAUGUUUUGCUGGUUGUGCCUGUAAGUUCACUCCUUUAUCAUAUAUAUCAUUGGGAACUUUCCCAUGGUAUAUGGUGACUCUGCCUGUAUUUUAUACAAAUUACAUGGUCCCAAGCCCAGAAAAAGGAGGAUUGUGGUGGCUAUAUGACCAAAAAUGGUUUUUAGAUACAUCUUAAGCAUAAGUUUGAGUGGGAACUGGCUUAGUUUUUAUAAAGAUUAUGGUAUGAUUUGAUGUGAUGCAUAAACUGAAGUUAAUUGAAAUGUUGUGUAACCUUACUUUGGAAAAAGUGAAGUGUUGGGUUAUUCAAACUGAUUUCUAUUUAAUGUCUAUGGUCUCACCUAAGGCUAAUUAUUUGCUUCCUAGCAUUUUCAUUUUGCUAAUGUUCCCCUUAGGCCCCAUUUUCUUUUCCUUGAUAUCAUCCAGUUUAUAUCUAUUGAUACUGUUUCCAUCACCCUGUGGCUAUGAGAAAGACAGAGUCCUAGCAUGGCAAUUUAGCUUAUGCAUGCAAUUAAGUCAUUCCUAUUCCAACAGCCAGAAGAGGAGUUUAUGGUUUGUAUUUGUAUCAUUAUUAUCUAUCAGGUUGUGGUGCUGUCAACUUUGUCUAUAAUUGCAUAAAAUCUAGUUUUGACCUGAAACCAACGUCUAGCUAUAAAAUUUUGCAUGCAUUUUGCACAAUACCUUCAACCUACUGCCAAUCUGGAGAAGCAAAAAACAAAGGAAAUGGUGUCUUGUUCUAUUGCUCCUAUUUGUUCAGAGAAAACAGCAUAUGCAAAGUUAGGGAUGUUGAAUUUUGCACAUCACAUUUCCAGGUAUGCUUUUUUAAAGUUUGGUCCAAUGACUGGAAAUUUAUUAACAUUGCAAUCUUACCCCUUUUUUCUGGUAGAAGCUAAAUGCAUGCAAAUUCACUAAUAAUAAAAUUACAUAGUGAGCAUGCUCUGAAGGUAAAAUACAAAGAAAUUGAGGAUCAAGUACUAAACGAUACCUUGACUUCAGAGGUUGGGUUCCCCAGUUGCUGAUGUUCCUCCUUUGUUUUGUUGUAUCGCUCAAUUACUGAUCUCAUGCUGGCAAGAGGAGAUUUGAAUUGCAUCAGACAUUCUGUAAUUUCUAAAUGCUUACAGGAGAGAAAAGAAAAACAGAGAAAAAUGCUGAUAAACAUACACUAAAAAUCACCACACAUGGGGCUCUAGAAAGUAUAAUGAUAGCUUCUGUAGCUUAACCACAUUUGUUGUCUUCCUUUCUCUCUCUCUAAAAUCAUCUCGUUUCCUAGUGUAUCUUAAAUUCUUGUUUCUCACAAAGUUGUGAUUAUAUUAGUCAAUGACAGUUCCCUUCCAGAAAGAUAAAUUAGCUGGUGAGCAGAACAGUUGAAGUUGUAAUUCUAAAAGUAAGUUUUCUUUUUGGUUAAAUAGGUAAUUCAAGUCUUGACUAGUCAGAAUGUUGUUUCUCCUUCAUUCUCGCUUUAGUUAAUCUUGUACUUGGCUGUUCAACCAUAACAUCUGAACUACACAGAUUGCGUUCUUGGUAAAGUAAAUUGUAUUCUGUCAGUCUCUACUUUACUGCCUUGCCUUUCCACCCCACUUUGUUUUUGAGUCUUACUAUUAUUAAAGAAGAGGUUAUCUGUCUUGCUGAAAUUGUCAGUCAUUUUGAGAAAGGAUCGUUGAUCCCAUUGUUAUAUGUUAGAUCUCCAUGAUUCUUUCCCAUAACUAUCGACAUAAAAGAUGUGCUUGUCUGACGUAAUGACCUCAACAUAUACAUGUUUAUUUGCUAUCUAAUUGAGGUUUUUUGUCAUAAGCUGGCUAUUGAAACAGAUAUUAUUUCAUUUAUAUCUUUAAGAUGUCACUAAUUUUUACUAUCAGUUUUUUUUUUAUCCCAAACUCAUCUUCCCCCUUUUCCAUGGAAACCAUAUGUGCAAAGUAAUUUGUGUUAUAAUCACCUUUCCAUUAAUCUUUUCCAAAAGCUACCUCAUAUAUGUGUUUCAGUACAAGCAAAUUUUCACCAAAGGGUUAUAGGCUUUUGAGCUUGCACUGUGGUUUCUUGAUGCUAGAGCCAUUUGUCCCUUUCUAACUUCAACUUGUGUUAUUUGGGUUGAAAGUUUUAAGUCCAAAAGUGGUCCGAUCAUAGUGAUAAAAGAUGUAAAUAUCUUGAACUUUUCUUUUGUCUCCCAAAAAUUCAGCGUUUUUAGCAUUUUUCUAAACAAAACCACAUCUUAUAGAGUCGAUUUACCCUUAGGAGCAAACUUUCUCAUAAUUAUGCAUUCAAAGUUUCUUAGAAAGUUAGAUACUUUUAAUUGUGAUGUCAUAAAUAAGCUCAUGCUUGAUAUUCUAGAUGAGUUUGAAAAUGAGUUUUUACACAACUCAAAAACAAAUUUGUAACCUCUGUACAAAAAAAAAAAAAAAGGUUCAGUAAGUGGCAACUUAGCAUGAAUUUUCAUUCUUGGUCACAUAGAUACUGAUUUGGCAGAUUUUCUACUGGGAUACAGGGGUAAAAGAAUGAAAACAGCUUUGAUUUUCAAUGUAUUCAGAAAGUGCCAAUUGAAUGUCUUGGAAGAGAUGUUGAUGUGCUAGACGAUGGUUACAAAGUACUAAAAUGCUGGCUCCGGUAAGUAGUAAUAGGAUUACCAUAGUCUUUGUCAAUAAUUGCCUUUUAGAGUUCAUUGGAGAUGGCUCAGACAAAUCUUUCAACAAUUUGGUACAGUGGUGGAUAUUUUUAUUGUGAAGAAAGGAAGCAAGACGGGGAAAAAAUUUGGCUUUGUCACAUAUUAGUUUUUUCUGAUGCUAGAAGGGUAGUUUCAAGAUUCAAUGGGGCUUGGUUAUUGAACCAGAGAAUAGGGGUGAAUAUUGCCAGAUUUGGUGGCAGAGUGUCUUAUUGGAAAAAACGAAAUGCUGAACAACUAGGAAAUGGUUUACUAGAACUAUCAGGUAAUGGUAUUACAGAAGUGAGAAGUGAGUAUGGUAGUGGUGUCCAAAAGUAGAUUUCAAUACAAAGUAGCAAAUUAUCCUAUGCACAGGUGCUAAAUGGUGAGAAAGAAUUAGCAAACAAGCUCUCAAAUUCAUAUACUGCAAAUAUAUGCAACAUUCAAUCAGCGAAAUGAUGUGUGGGUGAAAUUAGAGAUAAAUUUACAUUGGUUUGAAAUGGGUGUGGUGACCAUCAUUGAUUAUUAUGUGGAUCCUAAGGUUCUUAUGGAAUAGUUUAGAAUUGAUGGUUUUUCUGGUUUACAUGAGAGAAAACUAGGACCAAAGAAUUUUCUUACUUCCUUUAGUGAUGAAAUGAUGUUUGAUGAGCUGAAAGAAAAAGAUUGGGACUGGCUUAAUAACUUGUUCACUUCAGUUGAAGUGUGAUCUGCAAAUUUCACUGUCAAGUGCUGACAAAAAUGGAUUGCAACUUAUGGUGUACCUGCUCAUGCAUGGAAUUACAACACUUUUUUUAAUAUCAUUAAUGGUUGGGGAGAAUUGAUCUCCAUUAAAGCCAAAACACUUAAUUUUGAAAAUUUCAGUUUAUGUCGCGAUGCUUAUCUCCACUAACAAAAUGGAAUGCAUUGAUGAAGUUGUUGAGUUGGAAAUUGCAAACACGAUGUAUUUUAUUCGUGGAUGUGAAUUACCAGUGGAGGAGGGUUUUGUUCCUCAUUGUGGGGUAGAGAAGGAGUGUUUAGUUCCCUGCAGAGUCCAUGCAUCAUCAUGGAGGUUGAUGACAAUGUUGAAGUCACAUCAAAUGCUGACAUGGAGUGUGUGGAUAUGUUAGAACAGAGUCCAAUGGAGGAAAAAUUGGAGAUGUAUUCAAAUUUCAAAGAUGCUUCAAGUGCUAUUCGGAGGAAUCAAGGAGCCAACCUUAAUUCUGAUGCAAAUGUCUUGGAAAUAUUGGAGCAUUUGAUGGUUGUUAGAUGGCAUGGAGUACUAGCAAAAGAGAAGAAAUCUGCAGAAGGAAAAGGGGUGGUGGGAGAAUUCUGAGAUCUUAAAGGCUGGGCCGAUUAUGGUGUAUGUUCGGCCUAUUUCAGUAUUAGGCUUGGAAAGAAAAGAGGAGGGCUUGUCUGAGCAGAUUGAACCAAUUUGUAUCCCUAAAUCCAUUGAUUUGGUGGAAUUCCAACAAGAUCUAUCCUUGUCUCUGCUACCUUGUCUGCUGAACUCAAGAACUGUAUAUAAAGCCUUCUAAUUGAAAUUGAGGGGAGAUUAAGAAGGGAAAGGUACUGAAAAGGAAGGGUAAGAGCAAACAUGGAAGAAAACAUACGAUACAAGUUACAGCUGCUGAAAAUUCAAAGAUGGCCAAUGCUUCUCUAUCGGAUGGAUACUUUAGAAAUAGAAAUAUUAAUUCUUGAAUAGGCAAAGGAGAUUAGGAGCCUCGGCAAGAAACUUGGGUUAGUUGCCAACUUAAGUGAGGAAUUGAUAAUUGAUAAAUUGAAGAAAUUGAAAGGAGUCUCCCUGGCUCAGAUGGUGUAAUCCUUGUUUGGGUAAGUUUUGGUUUUGUGUUGUUGCUUUGGAUUUGUUAUGAACAUUGGUUCAAUCUGUUUGGUGUCUUGGUGCUAUGAUUUGUUUAAGUCUAUUUGGGUUUUAUUUGGCUUUGUUGCUAUUGUUUUUUGGCGAUGUUUUAAUCAUUGGAGUGUUGGUUAUUUUGUUGAUUGGUGAUCUAUUUUUGUUUAUUUUUGAAGUUAGGGGGUUUGUUUUUGUUCGUAUUGUCAAGAUGAGAAUUCUUAGAAUUGGAACCUGGGAAUGAAGCUGGUCCGAUCAAAUGAUGUCCUUAUCAAGAUGUGUUGCCAUGUUGAGAUUUUGAUUUGAUGAAUCUUAGAGUGUUGUCUAAAAUGUGAAGGGAUAUUGUUAGUAUCUAAAACAUGGGGGGGGUCCAAAAUUUUAUUGACAAAAAGGCAUGUGGUAGGGUAUCACGCAAUGAUGAAUGUUUUCAAUUUGGCAUGCCUACUGGUUAGAGGAUUGACCUUUGAAUGAGUUAUUUCUUUGUCUGGUUUUGGCUGUUAGGAAUAAGAAUGCUACAGUGAUAAAGUUUUUCCUUGAAGUCUAACUCCAAUUGGCAAAUUAACUUUUGAAGAGAUAUUUGGAAUUGGAAAAAUGAGUGUUUGAUCAACUAUUGAUUAUCCUAAGACGUGUGCAACCAAGGACUGAUUGAUUUAGGAAAUUUAAUGAGUUCGGUACUCUCUAGUAUAAAAGCUCUCUCUUGCUCUCAUGAUUUACUUUAAAGGGUGCUUGAUGACACCAUCUGAACAAUUGAGUCUAUCAAGGUUUCCUCAUUCGUUUAACGGUUUUUAUAGUUUACAUGUUCUGGAUUUAUUUCCUUCAAAAGGUUAUUCCAACGGAGGGGUUGUAUUUUUUUGGAUGAGAUAUGUCAAUGCCCCUUGUGUCAUUCUGCCCUUGAUGACUGUUAUCAACUGUUCAUGUGCUGUUUUUUGGAGCUGGAUUUGUUGGGGUUUUACUUUUGAAUGUUGGGUUGUGUGUGGUAGGGCAUGUGGUAUGUAAGGAACAAUGGUGUUUGGUUUGCAGGGCUGCCUGUGGUCUCUAUGGAGGGUUUGAAAUGAAACCACUUUCAAAAGUAAAAUAUGGUGUACGGAUUAAAGAAUUUCAGCUAACGCAUAUUGUUUCAAAGCAUUCACUAUGCAAAAAGGGCAUCCAAUGGAAAUCUGCCCAAAUUGAUUUUCUUCUACUUAAGGUUGAUGGUCAUACUCAAAGGAAUGCCUGGUCCAUUGGGAGAGGAAGGUGUUCUAAGAAACCAGAUAAGGAAGCUAAUAAGUAUGUUGAUUCUCUUGACAAAUAGGUGUUGAUUGAAAGGAAAGGUUUGUAGCCUGGUGUUGGUAUGGUAAUUUUUUUUAAUGUUGGGUAUUGUAUCUUUUUGUUAUGGUAGAAGUUAGUUCUGCUUUGGUUUGUUUUAGGGAUUGUCUGUAUCUUAACCUAUAAGCUAGAUGUUUUGUUGGGUAAUUAUUGGUGUUUGUAUUGUAUUGUUUUUAGUUUUGCUUUGGAUCCUUUGUGUGGGCAAUUUGGGGUUACAGGACUCUGACUUUUGAAUCAUGUGCGGUAUUUCAAUAAAAAUUUCAGCUCAGCAAAAAAAAAAAAAAGGGACUUGAUUUGGCAAA